GUAUUAGGUUUUAUAGGCAAACAAAGGCCCACUAAUGACAUUCUGUAACAUGCGUAUGGGGUGUAAAUGUAAGACAUAGACCAGGAAAUGCAAAGGGAAGCUUAAGCUAAUAAGCAGCCCUCAAAACCGAAGCACCCCCCCAAAAAAGAGAGUGAUUCGAGAGGUAUCCAAAAGGUCUACAAAACGGUGCACAGGUGGUUGUAAAAAUGGUGGCAGGCGUGCACGAUGCUCCUAAAAGCCAGCAGCAACCCGACCAAGUUUAUUCAAUAAUGAUCCUUCCGCAGGUUCACCUACGGAAA
rnacentral:misc_RNA from 1 species